UGGAGGGCAAGUCUGGUGCCAGCAGCCGCGGUAAUUCCAGCUCCAAUAGCGUAUAUUAAAGUUGUUGCAGUUAAAAAGCUCGUAGUUGAAUUUCGGGGUUCUACCGUUGGUCGGGCUUUGUCUGUACUGGUGUGUAGAAUUUCUACCUUCUGGGGAACCAUCAUGCUAUUAAUUUAGCGUGGUGGGAAACCAGGACCUUUACCUUGAAAAAAUUAGUGUGUUCAAAGCAGGCUUAUGUCUGAAUACAUUAGCGUGGAAUAAUAGAAUAGGACGGUGGUCCUGUUUUGUUGGUUUCUGAAUCACCGUAAUGAUUAAUAGGGAUAGUUGGGGGCAUUAGUAUUCAAUUGUCAGAGGUGAAAUUCUUGGAUUUAUUGAAGACUAACAUCUGCGAAAGCAUUUGCCAAGGAUGUUUUCAUUAAUCAAGAACGAAAGUUAGGGGAUCGAAGACGAUCAGAUACCGUCGUAGUCUUAACCAUAAACUAUGCCGACUAGGGAUCGGACGAUGUUAAUUUUUCUUGACUCGUUCGGCGCCUUACGGGAAAC
rnacentral:rRNA from 1 species